GAGUUCUCCACGGCCUUGCGGCUCUCGCCGGUGAUGUAGUAGAUGUCCUUCUGCCCCUCCUUCAUCCGGGUGACGUAGUCCUUGAGGCUGGUGAGCUCGUCGCCGCUCUUUGUCGAGUGGUAGCGGAGCAGGUCGGCGAGCUUGGCGCGGUUCUGCGAGUCCUCAUGCACGCCCAGCUUGAGGUUCUUGGAGAAGGCCUCGUAGAACUUUGCGUAGUCCUCCUUGUUCUCUGCGAUCUCGAAGAAGAGCUCGAUGCACUUCUUGACGAGGUUCUUGCGGAUGACCUUGAGGAUCUUGUUCUGCUGCAGCGUCUCGCGGGAGAUGUUGAGGGGGAGGUCGUCCGAGUCGACGACGCCCUUGACGAAGCCCAGCCACUCCGGGAUGAGCUCCUCGCAGUUGUCCAUGAUGAAGACGCGGCGCACGUAGAGCUUGAUGUUGUUCAUCUUCUUGCGGGUGUCGAAGAG
rnacentral:lncRNA from 1 species